AAAGAGGGAGGAGAGAAUGUAAAGGGGACGUAAAGAGGGAGGAGAGAAUGUAAAGAGGGAGGAGAGAAUGUAAAGGGGACGUAAAGAGGGAGGGGAGGAGAGCAUUAGGCUUGUUGGACUUCAUGCAGCGCUGCACAGAACGAUCAGCGGCUAACUUGAGCAGUUCUUGACGGUUAGAACUUGUGUCUGACUUCAGACAGCGAUGCCCGUGACUGUGCCAUAAGGCAACAGAGUACAACUAGAGUGAUUGGAGAGCAGGAGGACUCAGAUAGAGCAGAUUCUCUAGAGCGACUCACGAGCUCUGAUGAUGACACAGCUAAUCCACGAUUGGCAGAGUACACUGCUUGACAAUGAUCACGUGUGUUUCAUUUUUCUUCUCACACCUUCAGUUCCACUAAGGAUCACAUCUGUUCUUUAUAACAGUAAAAGCUCUUUUCAUGUAGUUGCGAUAGACCCCACUUCACUGGUAUUUAGGCUUAUUUUGAACUUUAUUCUUGUACAAACAUUAGUGCAUGUAUUGAAUGAAAAUGUCUCUGAAUUAUCUGUAUUUGGAAAAUAAUGCGUUUAUUCCACUUCAGCUGUAGUAAAGUAUGCAAACUUAGCCUGAGCAUCACUACAGGAAGCAGAAAGUGUCUGACAUCACAUCUCAGUUUUCAGCUUCUCUCAUCUGCACACGGCAACUCUCACCAAUCGGUUACAUCCAGCCACAGCCCAUGUCCAGCACAGCUAAUAUAAGGGAGGAUUAGAGGCAGUAAAUGUAAAGAGGAUGAAAAGAGGGAGGAGUAAAGCGGGUAAAAAGAGUGAGGAGUAGAGUUAAAGAGGGAGGAGAGAAUGUAAAGGAGGAAGUAGAGAGAUUUUGAAGAAGGGUGGAUGGAGGAAGUACAGAGGAUAGUUGUGCAGUGAGAAUCAUUCCCACCUCAAGUUAAUUGAUUUUUCAUUGUUGUUCUGUCAUUAACUGCAAUGUGCACUUUCAACACAAUGUGUCCAAGACUGUUAAUAUUAAAGAGUCAUUUAAUCAGA